rnacentral:piRNA from 1 species
UAGGUAACUAUAUAGGGCACUUGGACCGG